CAAUAGCGUUUAUUAAUGUUGUUGCAGUUAAAAAGCUCGUAGUUGGAUUUCUGGUGGGAGCGGCCGGUCCGCCGUAAGGUGUGUACUUGGUUGUCUCCUGUCAUCCUUGUGGGAACUGCUCUGGCAUUAAGUUGUCGGGGUUAGGGAACACAUCGUUUACUGUGAAAAAAUUAGAGUGUUUAAAGCAGGCUUAUGCCGUUGAAUACAUUAGCAUGGAAUAAUAAGAUAGGACUUUGGCGUCUAUUUUGUUGGUUUGCACACCAAGGUAAUGAUUAAUAGGGAUAGUUGGGGGUAUUCGUAUUUAAUUGUCAGAGGUGAAAUUCUUGGAUUUAUGAAAGACGAACUUCUGCGAAAGCAUUUACCAAAGAUGUUUUCAUUA
rnacentral:rRNA from 1 species